rnacentral:antisense_RNA from 1 species
CGGGCGGUGAACUCCCAGGACCCCGGCUCCUCCCCGAGGACCUGGCCGCCGAUGAACCCCCCGUCGGCGACGAGACCGAGACGGGUCUCCUCGCCGUACGGGCCGGUGCCGACCCGCUCGACCUUGCCGUGCGCGAUCAGAUAGACGUGGUCGGCCGGCCGGCCCGCCUCCGCGAUCACCUGGCCGGGGCCGAACUCGCGCUGCUCGAAGCGCCCGGCCAGCGCCUGCAGGGCGUCGGGCUCCUCGAAGCCGUGCAGCAGCGGGAGUUCGCCCAGCUCGGCCGGGAUCACGCGGACGGCGGCCCCUUCCUGGACGAAGGUCACCCGCCCGUCGCCGACCGUGUACGCCAGGCGCCGGUUGACGCGGUACGUACCACCGCUCACCUCCACCCAGGGCAGGGUCUUCAGCAGCUUCCGCGAACUGAUGCCCUGCAUCUGCGGAACGGUCUUGGUGGUCGUCGCCAGGUUCCGCGCGGCGGCGAUGCCCAGGCUCAACUGGGUCCGGCCCG